rnacentral:rRNA from 1 species
CACGUAGGGCGCAAGCGUUGUCCGGAAUUAUUGGGCGUAAAGAGCUCGUAGGCGGUCUGUUGCGUCCGCUGUGAAAACCCGGGGCUUAACCCUGGGCUGGCAGUGGAUACGGACAGACUAGAGGUAGGUAGGGGAGAAUGGAAUUCCCGGUGUAGCGGUGAAAUGCGCAGAUAUCGGGAGGAACACCGGUGGCGUAGGCGGUUCUCUGGGCCUUACCUGACGCUGAGGAGCGAAAGCGUGGGGAGCGAACAGG